CCUACGGGGGGCUGCAGUCGAGAAUCUUCGGCAAUGGGCGCAAGCCUGACCGAGCGACGCCGCGUGUGGGAUGAAGGCCCUUGGGUUGUAAACCACUGUCAGAGGGGAUGAAGUGCCAGAGAGCAAUCUCUUUGGUUUGACAUAGCCUCAGAGGAAGCACGGGCUAAGUUCGUGCCAGCAGCCGCGGUAAUACGAACUGUGCAAACGUUAUUCGGUACCACUGGGCUUGGAGGCUUGGUAGGCGGGUUGUGAAAGCCCCCGGCUCAACCGGGGAAUGGCGCCUUAAACUGGCGAGCUGGAGUGAGAUAGGGGUGUGCGGAACUUCCGGUGGAGCGGUGAAAUGUGUUGAUAUCGGAAGGAACGCCGGUGGCGAAAGCGGCACACUGGAUCUCAACUGACGCUGAGGCACGAAAGCCAGGGGAGCGAACGGGAUUAGAUACCCGGGUAGUC
rnacentral:rRNA from 1 species